rnacentral:rRNA from 1 species
UAGGGAAUAUUAGUAAUGGGCGAAAGCCUGAACUAGCAACGCCGCGUGUGCGAAGAAGGCCUUCGGGUUGUAAAGCACUUUUUGAGAGGAUGAUGAAGGACGGUACUCUCAGAAUAAGUCUCGGCUAACUACGUGCCAGCAGCCGCGGUAACACGUAGGAGGCGAACGUUAUCCGUAUUUACUGGUCGUAAAGCGCGUGUAGGUGGUUUGGUAAGUAGGGCGUGAAAGCUCCUGGCUAAACUGGGAGAGGACGUU